UACGUAGGGGGCAAGCGUUGUCCGGAAUCAUUGGGCGUAAAGAGCGUGUAGGCGGUUCGGUAAGUCGGCUGUGAAAGUCCAGGGCUCAACCCUGGGAUGCCGGUCGAUACUGCCGGACUAGAGUUCGGAAGAGGCGAGUGGAAUUCCCGGUGUAGCGGUGAAAUGCGCAGAUAUCGGGAGGAACACCAAUGGCGAAGGCGGCCCGCUGGGCAGGAAGACGGGCGCAAGCCCGUCGGCUGACACUGAGGCGCGACAGCGUGGGGAGCAAACAGGG
rnacentral:rRNA from 1 species